rnacentral:lncRNA from 10 species
AAAAAAAAAAGAAGAAAGAAGAAAGAAAAAAAAAGAGAAGCCAAAUGCAAAAGGCCACAUAUUAUAUGAUUCUUACUUACAUGAAAUGUUCAGAAUAAGCAAAUCCAUAGAAAGAGAAUAUAAAUUAGUGGUUCCCUUGGGCUGAGGAGACAAUGGAAAGUGACUGUAAAUGGACACGAAGCUUUUUGGGGGGAUGAUGGAAAUUUAUUUAAAUUAGCUUUUAUGUUUUAAUUAAAAGUAUAGUUAAUAAAUGUGGAUCUGAUGCAGGAAUAAACACACAAAUUACUGGGAAAAAAUAGAAAUACUUAAACAUGUCCUAUUACAUAUGACCUCAGUAGGGUAUAUAAGAAACAUCACAAAGCAAUGGAAAACAUGGACAUUCAGUAAAUUGACUGGAGAAAAAACAUAUAUAUAUAUUCUCAUUUCUUUCCUCAACACUAAAAUAAUAUAAAAGUAUUAAAGAGUAAAAUGUACAUGGAAACAAAAGGGGAGGAAUAUAUGUAAUAUUUGAUUUGUUAAAUUGGUGGGUACCUUCUUUAUCCUUUAUAUAUUUUGAUUAUCCUAGCUUUUUAUAAUAAAUGUUGUUUUUUUACCUUAUUUUG